rnacentral:rRNA from 1 species
GCCUACGGGACGCAGCAGUGAGGAAUAUUGGUCAAUGGGCGGGAGCCUGAACCAGCCAAGCCGCGUGAGGGAAGAAGGUACAGCGUAUCGUAAACCUCUUUUGUCAGGGAACAAAGGCGGGGACUAGUCCCCGGAUGAGGGUACCUGAAGAAAAAGCAUCGGCUAACUCCGUGCCAGCAGCGGCGGUAAUACGGAGGAUGCGAGCGUUAUCCAGAUUUAUUGGGUUUAAAGGGUGCGUAGGCGGAAUGCCAAGUCAGCGGUAAGAUCGCGGGGCUCACACUCGCUCCGCCGUUGAAACUGGCGUG